UUGGUUUGCACACAAAAAUAUGGCACGUUUAUUAGUGUUAGGAUUAAGGUAAUUAUAUAUAACCCAUUAAUGGCCCAUUAGGCCCAAGAAGGACUAACGUGGGGGCGGGAUCGAUAGUCCGGAAUAUAUACGACUCCCGACGGCGCACUCACCCGCGACCAUGAUCCCAAGUCGAUCUUCUUCCUCCUUUCUUGCUGCAUCUGCUACCCCUUGAGAUUGGGAUCCACACCGGCAAGCGCCACCGCCGCCAAGUGCAGAUCGAUAUAUCAUCCCAAAGCUAGGUUAAUUUGCCUCCUCUACAGAUCGAUCGAUCGGAUCCCCUCGAUCCCAACCACCACCACCAAGUGCAGCUAGCGCAGUUCAUCCCCGCCCAAAGUUCUGCCUGUUACAGUAUGUCCUCAACGAAAUUUUACCAAUGACGACUGCUUGCACUGGCAUGGCACAAGAUCAGUAUAGGAUAUGUGUCUAGCCGAGUAGCCAUUAUUGUAACGUCCUAUGGCUAUGACGAUGGAACCGUAUCCUCUAACAUUACACACUAAUGUCACGGUGCAUACUAUUAUUACAAGGAUAUGCCUCGAUUGGGGGACCCGGAUGCAGACCUGGUGCAGAGAGUUCUUUGCGAGAUUGGAUAUGUGUGUUGCAUCCACUAUAUUGGUGUGACCUCAAACUGGUAUGAUUUAUUAGGAGGCGGCCUUUUGGUGACAUGGAAUGCGAUGUUUUUAAUUCUAGACAAGAUUAACUCGCCCAAUGCACGGUCAUGGCGUAGAGGAAGAUUUUAGAUACACGAUGAUGCAUGCAACUCUUAAUUGCAUGCUCAGUUCAAGUUGACAUGUCAUAAUCUUAAUAUAUGCAUCAUCAUAUUCUACUGUAGGAUGAUUCGAAGCUUGUGUAUAUACAAAUGUACUAUAUAUAAGACCUUGAUAUAUUCAUAACAAAUCCUGGUUCAGUCA